AAGUCGUAACAAGGUUUCCGUAGGUGAACCUGCGGAAGGAUCAUUAACACGUUAUCCAACGUUAACCAAUGAGAAUCGUUUUCACCCUCCCUUCACGGAGAAUGAGCGGGGUUGGUAGAGGUGUUGUAAGGGAUGCUUCGGCGUCGAACCUCUAUUAACUAUUUUUGUGAAUAGAAAUAUUUGCAUUGACGCUGUAUCUUUUAGUGAAGAUUAAAACUCAUAGCAGGGCUGUCCUUUCAAGAGAACUGCUGUGGGAAACCAUUUAUUAACUUAUUUCACCUUUUUUGCUAGUUGACUUUUAUAUGUUGUUCUUUAUGCUUUUGCGUAAGGUUCACACGUUUAAUUAUUUGAACGUUAAAAUUACAACUCUUAGCAAUGGAUAUCUUGGUUCUC
rnacentral:misc_RNA from 1 species